GGGUUAUAGGCGAAUUACAGCUUUGGUAGCUAGGCCAUGGUGCCCGAUGGAGAUCUGCUCAAAAGAAGAGAUAGUAGAUAUCGUAACUGACCCAAGCAUUGAAACCACAAAAAUAGGCAUGGAAGCUAGGUACGGUUGCUGCCAAGCAAUACACAAGCUUUCACACGUUCAACCAAACUGAUGAACGAUCCUUCUCUGGCUGGAAUUGCUAGCAAGUUGCAAGAUGCUGUGAGAAGGG